AUGGAUCACGCGUGCACCGCGGUUCUGGGCGCGCCGUCCGCACCACCGGAUGGCCUUUCGCGACGUGCUGUUGGUA
rnacentral:sRNA from 2 species